CCCGGAAGCAGGGGACCACCAGGUUGCCUAAGGAGGGGUGAACCGGCCCAGGUCGGAAACGGAGCAGGUCAAAAAUUUUAGGGGGGGCU
rnacentral:miRNA from 1 species